GUCAUGCUGAUGCUGCUGGUCUGGGGACCACACUGUAAGACCCACUUAUACACUGCAUGUACUACUGCCCCAUGUGAUGUAGGGAACACAUACAGCUGCCACUGGCAUAGUAUACAACAUCUUAAAGCCAGAUGCUAAUAGGAACACCAGACUUUCUACUAUUUUAGAAUAUUCAAAAUACAAGGAUGCAUCUCCAGUCUGUGACUUGAAACAUCCCCGAAAAGCUGAGGACCUUGAAAGUGUAAGGUAUCAAGUGCUGUGAUGGGAGGAUCAUAGAUUUCAAGAAGGGAACAGUUUAUACCUCUUGCCAACAACCCACUUUCUAAACCAUCUGGCCAGGGGAAAGGCCAUUUUCUGAGCAUGUCCAAGUUUCCUUAAGCAAACAUUAUGCAGAAGCCAUGGGAGAAGCAAAAGGAGGAAGAAUGCUGUCUUUCAGGACAAUGGUGUUUUACAGUUAUGCUUGACUUUUCCCAUUGGCCAUCGCGGCAUAGAGCCGAGCAUCACCCACUUCAACCCAGGAGCGCAGCAGUGGAGAAACAGUGAGGAGGGAACCUGAUUUCCUUUGCUAGAGGAACUUGUAUCUUUCCUUCCUAUCCCUUAUGAAUGGGGGAGUGAUAGGCAUGACGUCACAGUUCCCUGAUGAACUUGGAUCUGCUUCACUUCAGUUCUUCUUUUAGAAAGGCCUGUCUAUGGAUAAAGAAAAUGUGGCACAUAUACACCAUGGAAUACUAUGCAGCCAUAAAAAAGAAUGAGUUCAUGUCCUUUGCAGGGACAUGAAUGAAGCUGGAAACCAUUACUUUCAGCAAACUAACACAGGAACAGAAAACCAAACACCGCAUGUUCUCACUCAUAAGUGGGAGUUGAACAAUAAGAACAUAUGGGCACAGGGAGGGGAACAUCACACACUGGGGCCUGUCCAGGGGUGGGGGGCUAGGGGAGGCACAGCAUUAGGAAAAAUACCUAAUGAAGAUGAUGGGUUGGUGGGUGCAGCAAACCACCAUGGCACAUGUAUACUUGUGUAACAAACCUGCACGUUCUGUACAUGUAUCCCAAAACUUGAGUAUAAUUAAAAAAAAAAAAGAAAGAAAGGUCAGUUUAGGGAGUCUAUACUCAGGACAACUUGAAUCUAUGCUCCCAGGUAGACAUUUAAAAAAGAAAAGAAAGGAAGGAAGAGAAAAAAAAAGGGCAAUCUUGACCCUGCACUUAUAAGUCUUAUCUUUUCCCUGUUAAAAAAAAAAAAAAACAAAAAAAAAAACUAGGCCUGGUGCAGUGGUUCACACCUAUAAUCCCGCCACUUUGGGAGGCUGAGGUGGGAGCAUCAAUUGAGCCCAGGAAUUUGAGACCAACCUGGGGAAAAUAGUGAGACCUCAUGUCCACAAAAAAUAAAAAAAUUGGCUGGCUGUGGUGGCGUGUGCCUGUGGUCCCAGCUACUCUAGAGGCUGAGCUAGGAAGAUCACUUGAGCCCAGGAGGUUGAGGCUGCAGUGAUCCAUGAUCACACUACUAUACUCCAGCCUGGGCAAUAGAGACUCUGUCUCAAAAACAACAAAACAACAGCAAAAACAAGCCCCUUUGUCCCAAUCAAAGGAGUGCUCUCAUUCUACCCUAAUGAAAUGCAUCCUGUGUUUCUGUGCAUUUGCACAUGCUUCCCCUCUGCCCACGCCUUUCCUCUCACUUCCUCACACAGGCUAAUUCUUCCUUGUCCAAUGUCCCUAUCUUUUGGAAGUCAUCCCAACUCUCAGGAGGACUAAGUCCUGUGGGCUCUCCUAGCACCCUAAGCAAAUUUCAGGCUGUUCCCACAUGACAGAAUAAACUGCUUGACCGUCUUGACUCUCCAGUGACCAGCACACUGUGAGGUCCAUCAAUAUUCGGUGAAUUAGCAAACAAAUGUUCCUUCCUGCCUGGUAUUAUCUCAGGCACCAUCAAUAUUUCUGUACAGGAUUUACCUCUUGCACAAAGGGUAUCUCUUCUCUAAAUUCCCAUUGUAUCUCUUGUUUGUGGUAUUCAUUGUGAAACACAAUCAUUUAGCACCUUGCAUUGUUGUUCACUCAUUUCUGUGUAUUUUGCUCCCCAACCAGAAUGUUUGCUGCUAAAAUGUCCAGACUAUAUCUCAGAUGUCGUGUCCUUUGUUAUUCCCGCAGUUUCUAAUAUAAUACUAUACACACAGCAGGCAAUCGAUGAAUGAUGGAUGGAUGAGUGCAUGAAUCCAAAAAAACGUUUCUUUAAAUUGUGACCUCCAUGAAGAUUUACAUGAUCUUGGAGAGAUUUUUAACAUAAAAAAUAAACCAGCCUUUACAUGACAGCACCCAUUUGGUGCC